rnacentral:sRNA from 1 species
GAAUGGCUCUCUCAAGGGCGGCCUGGCUCAUCCCCGAUGAAAGGGGGUGAUGCUUAUGACGGUAUUUGAAGCUUUAUCACUCAUGAUAGCUUUUGGCGCAUUAAUCGCCUUACUGUCGCAAGAAAAAAAGAAAUAGACCUCCCUUGAGACCUGAACAGUUUUAGGGAUUGGUCUAUUUCGUUGAACAAUCUGAGCCAGCCGUCCUUAGAUAAGGGCGACUAUUGUACAAGACCGUAAGUGUUGGUAGCACUU